rnacentral:rRNA from 1 species
CUUGACGAUCAUAGAGGCGUUGAACCACCUGAUCCCAUCCCGAACUCAGCAGUGAAAAGCGCCAUCGCCGAUGGUAGUGUGGGGGAUCCCAUG